rnacentral:lncRNA from 1 species
CUGAUUUCUUUUACGGUUGAGAUAUGAUCUCAAUCUUCAAAUCACAAGAAGUUGUGAUUUAUGCAUAUUUAUUUGAAUCACACAAUCCUCGAAAUCUGAGGGCUUUGUGAUAUUUGGUGUCAAAGCAAAGGAUUAGUGGAGACUAUUCGAUUCCCGGAAACUCUCAUGCAUGAUCAUGUGACGAAGCGUGGCUCUCCACCCGGGGGCUCAUAUGAUGAGUACUUUGAUAGGCACGCGCGGGUAUCAUAUUGGGACUGAGCCCGUGCCACAUAUGAUGUGCAGUUGGAGACUGUCUUCGACUGGUACCAAAGUCAAAAUAUCUAAAAUAUCAAGCAUGUUUUGGGUUAAAUGUUUAACCCGUUCUUUCCGCAUAAAAUUUUUGAAAUUCAUGCUUAGCCCUCUGCACGCAUACUAUC